GGUACUCGCUCUAGUACCAAAUUUUGCGAAUCCACAACCCGCUCCGAUAUAUAUCGACUGCUGUUGGUCCAGUACCGAUUGUCGGGAUUUCGUAACGGAAGCGUUAAAUCGAGUUUUUACCAUAAACUCGUCUCUUCAGUAAAAACUGAUAUAAUCACUAAAGAGAGAAAAACUACAAUAGAAAAUAUACGGGUAAAAUAAGAUUCAUUAAAUGAGAAAAGAAUACACCUGACUCAUCUUCUGUAACAAAAUAGUUACAAUCCCGAGCCCUCUUUUUGAAUCUUUCCUACCCUUCUCUCGUCUUCUAUAGUCUCAGAAAACAUCUCUCCCAUCUGUACACCCGUGCACAAGGUAUACCAAUAAGCCACGACUACGAAAGCCGCUCGCGUCCUCUUGCACCCAUGCAUAUAGUGCAUCCAAAAUUAUGACCACCUUAGUCAUGCCAUAUGGGUGUGGCUAAUCCGUACUACCACUGGCCACCAAUGGAUGUGGCUAAUCCGUACUACCACCACCACCACCACCGCAAUAAUAGCACAUAUACUAUAUUUAUAGUUUAUAUAAAAAGAUACGCAAAUCCUAAUCUAAUUAGAUUUCUAUUCUAAUUAAUAUUUAAAUUUUAAUUUAUCUCCAAUAGAUUUAAAUAUUAAUCAUAAUUCAAUUAGUAUUCAACUACAAAUCUAACCAAAUUCUAACAUUCUCCACCUUGAUUGGAUUUGUAGUUUUCAACCACUGCGUCAAGCUC
rnacentral:lncRNA from 1 species